rnacentral:rRNA from 1 species
AACGAACGUUAGCGGCGCGCUUAACACAUGCAAGUCGAACGAGAAAGGGUGCCUUCGGGUACCCCGGUAAAGUGGCGCACGGGUGAGUAACACGUGGAUAACCUACCCCCGAGCGGGGGAUAACGUACCGAAAGGGACGCUAAUACCGCAUAAGACCACGGCCUGAAACGGCUGGGGUCAAAGAGGGCCUCUUCUUGAAAGCUCUCACUUGGGGAUGGGUCCGCGGCCCAUCAGGUAGUAGGUGGGGUAGCGGCCUACCUAGCCAUAGACGGGUAGCUGGUCUGAGAGGAUGAUCAGCCACACUGGAACUGAGACACGGUCCAG